rnacentral:rRNA from 2 species
GACGAACCGAGCGAACGUUGUUCGGAAUCACUGGGCUUAAAGGGCGCGUAGGCGGGUGGUUUAGUCUGUGGUGAAAUCCGGCAGCUUAACUGUCGAAUUGCCGUGGAUACUGGCCAUCUCGAGGGAGGCAGGGGUGCGCGGAACUAAUGGUGGAGCGGUGAAAUGCGUUGAUAUCAUUAGGAACUCCGGUGGCGAAGGCGGCGCACUGGUCCUCUUCUGACGCUGAGGCGCGAAAGCCAGGGGAGCAAACGGG